GACGAACGCUGGCGGCGUGCUUAACACAUGCAAGUCGAACGGUAAGGCCCUUUCGGGGGUACACGAGUGGCGAACGGGUGAGUAACACGUGGGUGAUCUGCCCUGCACUUUGGGAUAAGCCUGGGAAACUGGGUCUAAUACCGGAUAGGACUACGCGAUGCAUGUCGUGUGGUGGAAAGCUUUUGCGGUGUGGGAUGGGCCCGCGGCCUAUCAGCUUGUUGGUGGGGUGAUGGCCUACCAAGGCGACGACGGGUAGCCGGCCUGAGAGGGUGUCCGGCCACACUGGGACUGAGAUACGGCCCAGACUCCUACGGGAGGCAGCAGUGGGGAAUAUUGCACAAUGGGCGCAAGCCUGAUGCAGCGACGCCGCGUGGGGGAUGACGGCCUUCGGGUUGUAAACCCCUUUCAGUACAGACGAAGCGUAAGUGACGGUAUGUGCAGAAGAAGCACCGGCCAACUACGUG
rnacentral:rRNA from 1 species